rnacentral:rRNA from 1 species
GGCGGACGGGUGAGUAACGCGUAGGAAUCUACCUGGUAGUGGGGGACAACAUUCGGAAGCGGAUGCUAAUACCGCAUACGCCCUACGGGGGAAAGCAGGGGAUCUUCGGACCUUGCGCUAAUAGAUGAGCCUAAGUCAGAUUAGCUAGUUGGUGGGGUAAAGGCCUACCAAGGCGACGAUUUGUAGCGGGUCUGAGAGAUGAUCCGCCACACUGGGACUGAGACACGG